CUAAACAGAAGCCAGAAGAGCUUAAAAAAGAAAAUGAAGUUGAAUUAGCAUAAGUAUUCACAGUUGAGCAAUAGUAUAUGCACAGCGAUAUGGAUGAAUAAAGUCAAUUUAAAUUUGCUAAUACAACAGUUUCUAGCAAGACGGAAAUUUCGUUGUGGAAGCAUUGUUUUCUGCCGUAGAAGAAGGUAACAUUGCUGGAUUGGAAGAACUUUUCACCAUAUCUCGCAUUGACCCGAAUUUCUGUAAUAAGCACGGAGAAACUGCAGUCCAUAUAGCCUCUGGUCUGGGACACCUGAACGUUGUGAAAUUCUUACAUUCCAAACGAGCUAAUAUUCAUGCUCUUGACAGCCAUGGAGAUAGUGCUAUCUACUGGGCUGCGAGACAAGGCCCGAUCAUAUUAGC